AAGAUCGUUCUUCUUCCUUACAUUGAAUCGAACCAUUGGACACUCAUUGCAAUAUGUGUGUCAAGUAACGAAGUCUACCACUUUGAUUCUUUGCGUAAAGAAACAAUACGGUCCUUACUAGUCAAAUCAUUGUUAAAUAGUGUGAUGAAGAAGAUUACUUCAUCUGGACUUCGACAAGGAAAAGCUCCUGUUUGGUAUUUAGUCGAGUGUCCGGUACAAGAAGGUGGACUUGCGUGUGGGUAUUACGUCAUGAGGUUCAUGCUCGAUAUCGUCAACUAUUGCAAAGAUGUUGUUGAUCUUCGAAAGGUAUGUAACUGUU